AAUGACAAAAUUUUAAUUUUGGGAUGGAGUAUCCCUUUAAGGUGUUUUUAGUAGUUGCUGGGGUAUUUUCUGUGGUUAUUUACUUGCUCCAAAAAUAGUAGAAUAAAUAGACAAAUCAGAGUGCCUGUUUGCCUACAUUAGAUCUGAUAGGUGUUGACAGCGUCACUCGAGCCGUUCAGGGCUCCACCAAAGAGCCGUUUGGCAACAUGCUCCGCUUUACCGUCAGUAGUGUCGCUCGUAUCGCAGGGACCACCAUCACUGAGCCUCAGCGCUAUUUAUAAUGUUUUCAGCACCCAACAGAUGCAAGAAAUUUAUUACAGCCACAUGUCUCCAGCAGAGAUAAUUAACCUUUUGGGACGACCGUGCCAUAAAGUCUUCCAAAUGUCCUGCUACUCAUUUCCGAUGUCCCUCAGAAGUGACUCAGUGUUAUUAUGAGCUCAUCACUGCUUGUUAUGAUGAGUGUUGUAUAAGUGACAGGCCACAGCAACAGCUGACAGUCUUUUGCAGUGAUUGAUCUUGAUCUUUGGCCAGCAUAUGCUUGACGUAUUUUAUAGGCACGGUGUUUGGCUCUCCUCAUCAUGGUCAAGUUUAAAAGCAUCGAGCGUUUCCUCAAACCACGCCAGAACCGCAUGACUUUGGCACGCUGACUCUUGGGACAAAUGUUGUAAUGGCUGUUCUUUGAGCGGCAGAGUGAAGUAACAAACACCUGACCGCAUUUUCCCUGUUGUUCAGCCUCUGGUGGAAACUACAGACUUCAUCUCUGUUUCGUUCACUGCAGCACACAAGUAUCUGAGCGCUCUCAAUGACCUGUCCAAGCCUGUUUUCUAGAGCCGGUUGUUUUGCCUACCACUCUGCUUUCUCAAAUGACGUCAGCUUCCUUGAGUUCCCUGAGUGUAACACUAAAUUUACGAGUAUGUUGUGCAACCACAAAUUCUUCCGCUUGAUAAAAGACGAUGGGGAAACUGUAGCCCGGGGACUGUUUCUGUACAGUCGAACAACAGAUAUGUUUUAGUGCUGUCAGGGACACCUUGUUAUGAUCGCCCUUUGACUUAAUUCAAUGAGUUCCCCGCAAACUGAAAAAAAAAAAAAAAAAAAAACACAAUCUUGAGAUUGAUGUGUGCUGCAGCUGCUUUGCAUGAAGUUGUAAUUAAACAACAGCAUGCAACAGAAUGGACUAUAUUUUUGUGUUUUGUAUAUUUAGUAGCAUUUUCUAGGGCAGAUACUUAUAUUAUACUUGUAUAAUUAGGGCUUGUUAUCUUCCUGUAACCUUAGGAGUUACAUUUUACAAGAUUCAACUCAAUUUAAGUCAGUUUAAUAUUACUUAAAAUACUUGUACAGCUAAUUUGAUUAUAUCUAAAUAUUAAGCAAUUGAAUUUAAGUUUUUAAUUUGAAAAUAUGCAGAAUAAUAUUGUGUAAAUAUACCGUAUAAAUAUAUUACAAUAUAUUGAACAAUAUAUCUGACCCUGGACCACAAAAGCAGUCAUAA
ensembl:lncRNA